AUGCCUUAAACUAAUGAGUAAGGAAAAUAAUGAGCCUGGGUAGUCACAGGCUCCCUAGUUUAAUCUAGGAAGAAUUUGUGCAAGGGUACAGGUUACCCCCACGGUGACCCACUUACUUUGUGGGAUGCCUGGGUUGUUGUGAUCUGCCUG
rnacentral:snRNA from 1 species